rnacentral:rRNA from 1 species
AGUCUCGGCUAACUACGUGCCAGCAGCCGCGGUAAUACGUAGGAGGCGAGCGUUAUCCGGAUUUAUUGGGCGUAAAGCGCGUGCAGGUGGUUUGGAAAGUUGGGUAUGAAAUCUUCUGGCUUAACUAGGAGAGGUUGCUCAAAACUGCCAGACUAGAGGACGAUAGAGGAAGGUGGAAUUCCCGGUGUAGUAGUGAAAUGCGUAGAUAUCGGGAGGAACACCAGUGGCGAAGGCGGCCUUCUGGGUCGUUCCUGACACUAAGACGCGAAAGCAUGGGUAGCAAACGGGAUUAGAAACCCCGGUAGUCCAUGCCGUAAACGAUGUGAACUUGAUGUCGGUGGUGUAAUAACCAUCGGUGUCGUAGUUAACGCGAUAAGUUCACCGCCUGGGGAGUACGAUCGCAAGGUUAAAACUCAAAGGAAUUGACGG